rnacentral:rRNA from 1 species
GACGUAGGGUGCGAGCGUUGUCCGGAAUUAUUGGGCGUAAAGGGCUCGUAGGCGGUUCGUCACGUCGGGAGUGAAACUCGGAGCUUAACUCCGAGCCUGCUUCCGAUACGGGCAGACUAGAGGUAGGCAGGGAGACUGGAAUUCCUGGUGUAGCGGUGAAUGCGCAGAGAUCGGUAGGAACACCAAUGGCGAAGGCAGCUUGCUGGGCAUUUCUGACGCUAAGGCACGAAGCGUGGGAGCGAACAGG